CGGGGUAUAGCGCAGCCUGGUAGCGCGCCUGCUUCGGGAGCAGGAAGUCGCUGGUUCGAAUCCAGCUACCCCGACCA
rnacentral:tRNA from 1 species